GAAGUGCGAUAAGUGUCAUGACUUGCAGAUUCCCGAGAGCUGACAAAUUUCUGAAUGCAAAUGGCGGCUGUCAAAAACGGCCAUGUAUGGCAGAGUGUAGUUGUUCAUACUAAUCAUCCCCUUCUCAUCAUACGUCUGGUGAUUAGGCUAGGGAUCUGCGCUUACGACCUUUGGCGUGAGUGUGAAAAAUCGAGCCCUCAUCUCAACUUUCGAGUUGAGAUGGGGUGACUUCGGAAAGGAGAACUAUACGUUCUCUUGAAAGAAGUUGCUAGAGCUCUUAUUAUCUAGGAAUCUACCUCUGCCAUGCAGGAGAACCCGCUGAACUUAA
rnacentral:misc_RNA from 1 species